rnacentral:rRNA from 1 species
UACGGAGGGUGCGAGCGUUGUCCGGAAUCACUGGGCGUAAAGGGCGCGUAGGUGGCGCGGGAAGUCAACGGUGAAAGUUCGGGGCUCAACCCUGAAUCGGCCGUCGAUACUCCCGGGCUCGAGCACUGUAGAGGCAGAUGGAAUUCCGGGUGUAGCGGUGGAAUGCGUAGAGAUCGGGAAGAACAUCAGUGGCGAAGGCGGCCUGCUGGGCUGUUGCUGACGCUGAUGCACGAAAGCUGGGGGAGCAAACAGG